CAGUAUCAAAGUGCUUUAUUUUGGGCGGAUAAGGUAGCUUCACUCUCUCGUGAGGAGCCCCAGGACAUUUACUGGCUGGCUCAGUGUCUUUACCUGACAGCCCAGUAUCACAGAGCCGCUCAUGCACUUCGGUCACGAAAAUUGGACAAAUUGUAUGAAGCAUGUCGCUACCUUGCAGCUAGGUGCCACUUUGCUGCAAAGGAGCAUCAGCAGGCUCUCGAUAUUCUUGAUAUGGAGGAACCGAUCAACAAAAGGUUAUUCGAGAAAUGCUUGAAGGAUGAAAGUGGUGGCUUGAAAGACCCCUCCAGUGACUGGGAAGUGUCUCAGUCCUCAAUAAAGAGUUCUAUUUGUCUCUUGCGAGGGAAGAUCUACGAUGCUCUCGAUAACCGAACUCUCGCCACCUACAGCUACAAAGAGGCUUUGAAGCUCGAUGUCUACUGCUUUGAAGCGUUUGACCUUCUCACUUCACACCACAUGCUGACAGCUCAAGAAGAAAAAGAACUUCUUGAAUCACUACCUCUCAGCAAGCUCUGUACUGAAGAGCAGGAAUUGCUACGUUUUCUAUUUGAGAACAAAUUAAAAAAGUAUAAUAAGCCUAGUGAAACUGCCAUCCCCGAGUCUGUAGAGGGUUUGCAGGAGAACCUGGAUGUGGUUGUGUCUUUAGCUGAAAGACAUUAUUACAACUGUGACUUUAAAAUGUGCUACAAGCUUACCUCUGUAGUAAUGGAAAAAGAUCCUUUCCAUGCAAAUUGUUUACCCGUACACAUAGGGACACUUGUGGAGCUGAAUAAAGCAAAUGAACUUUUCUAUCUUUCUCAUAAAUUGGUGGAUUUGUAUCCUGGUAAUCCUGUGUCUUGGUUUGCAGUGGGAUGCUAUUAUCUCAUGGUUGGUCAUAAAAAUGAACAUGCCAGAAGAUACCUGAGCAAAGCUACGACGCUCGAGAAGACCUAUGGGCCGGCGUGGAUAGCGUACGGGCAUUCAUUCGCGGUUGAGAGUGAGCACGACCAGGCAAUGGCCGCCUACUUCACAGCCGCACAGCUGAUGAAAGGGUGUCAUUUGCCAAUGCUUUAUAUUGGAUUAGAAUAUGGAUUGACCAAUAACUCAAAACUGGCUGAAAGAUUCUUUGGCCAAGCUCUAAGCAUCGCACCAGAAGAUCCAUUUGUUAUGCAUGAGGUUGGCGUGGUUGCGUUUCAGAAUGGAGAAUGGAAAACAGCGGAAAAAUGGUUUCUCGAUGCUUUGGAAAAAAUCAAAGCAAUUGGCAAUGAGGUGACAGUUGACAAAUGGGAACCUUUGUUGAACAACUUGGGGCAUGUCUGCAGAAAACUUAAGAAGUACGCGGAGGCCCUGGACUACCACCGCCAGGCCCUGGUGCUCAUCCCUCAGAACGCGUCCACCUACUCUGCCAUCGGGUACAUUCACAGUCUGAUGGGCAACUUUGAGAACGCCGUUGACUAUUUCCACACAGCCCUGGGUCUUCGGCGAGAUGACACCUUUUCUGUCACGAUGCUUGGUCACUGUAUUGAAAUGUACAUUGGUGACUCUGAAGCCUAUAUCGGAGCGGACAUUAAAGACAAGUUAAAGUGCUACGACUUUGACGUGCAUACAAUGAAGACGCUAAAAAACAUUAUCUCACCCCCGUGGGAUUUCAGGGAAUUUGAGGCAGAAAAACAGACUGUGGAGGAAGCAGGGCUUGCGCCGCUGGCAGCCUCAAGGAAGACUCCAGAUUCCAGGCCUUCCUUGGAGGAAGCAUUUGAAAUCGAAAUGAAUGAAAGCGACAUGAUGUUAGAGACGUCCAUGUCAGACCACAGCAUGUGAUUCCAUGCGGGCCACUUCCACGCCGCCGGAGCGGUUGCGUUUCAUCCUCCUGCGGCUCGAGAGUUGCCCGUCCCUCAUCACGCUCAUCACGCACCCCGGCCGCACGUCUGCAUUCGGGAGUGGAGACCUGGCCUGAGGGACUGGAUGGCACACCUUUGCAGCACAUGUUGUCUGGCCCUACAGAAUAGCUAUAUGAAGUGAAAUAAAGAAGGUGGUAAUCCGGCGGCUUCCUCCCGGUCUCACCAAGGAGCAGCUGGAGGAGCAGCUACACCCUCUGCCCGCACAUGAUUACUUUGAAUUCUUUACUGCUGAUCUCAG